rnacentral:rRNA from 1 species
AGCGAACGCUGGCGGCAGGCUUAACACAUGCAAGUCGAGCGGGCACUUUCGGGUGUCAGCGGCGGACGGGUGAGUAACGCGUGGGAACGUGCCCUCUGGUUCGGAAUAACUCAGGGAAACUUGAGCUAAUACCGGAUACGCCCUUUUGGGGAAAGGCUUGCUGCCGGAGGAUCGGCCCGCGUCUGAUUAGCUAGUUGGUGAGGUAACGGCUCACCAAGGCGACGAUCAGUAGCUGGUCUGAGAGGAUGAUCAGCCACACUGGGACUGAGACACGGCCCAGACUCCUACGGGAGGCAGCAGUGGGGAAUAUUGGACAAUGGGCGCAAGCCUGAUCUAGCCAUGCCGCGUGAGUGAUGAAGGCCUUAGGGUUGUAAAGCUCUUUUAUCCGGGACGAUAAUGACGGUACCGGAGGAAUAAGCCCCGGCUAACUUCGUG